CGGGCACCGAAACCGCCGUAACGGCCCGUGUCCCGGGGUUAAGAGCCGGAGGAGGCCUGCAGGGAGGGUGCUCCAGUCCGGGCCCGCAGGCUCCCGCAACCCUGCCUUAGUUUCCCAACCGGGAGGGGUGGAAACCACCCAAAAGACUUGAGGGAGACAAAGAUAAUACAGAUCUUCCUCCAUUUAUGGUGGGUUUACGUCCUGAUAAACCCAUCUUGAUUAACCCAUUUUGCACACCUAACCUGCCCAACAUCACAGCUUAGCCCAGCCUACCUUAAACCUGCUCAGAACACGUAUCUUGACCUACAAUUGGGCAGAAUCAUCAAACACGGAGCCUAUUUUAUGACAAAGUGUUGAAUAUCUCAUGUAAUUUGUAUCGAAUGCUAUACUGAAAGUGAAAACCAGAAUGGUUGUGUAGGUACAGCACGAUUGUGAGUGCAUUGGUUGCUUAUCCUUGUGAUCUCGGGGCUGUCUGGGAGCCAGGACUUCCUGCGUCUGCUCAGCAUCCCUGUAGUGUCACGCGGCAUAUCGCUAGCCCAGAAAAAAAUAAAAAUUCCAGGUCCAUGCGGGAAUGGGGCUGCCUGAUCAGUAUAGACCAUCUGAUGCCUCUUGCCUGAAAAUAUGUUUCUCAGUCAGAAUAAACCCAGUUGUACUGCAUGCUGAUCUACAUGUGAUUUCUUGUGGGAGAGACUGGCUCUCUGCUCACCAGAUCCAUGGCCUCUUUUUCUCUGGACACACAGGCGAAGAGACUGACGUACAGAAGGAUUGAAUAAUUGCCCCCGGCUACACACUCAAGCCAGCCUUGGAACCCAAACAGUUUGGUUCCAGUGUCCAGGCAGUAAUGACUCAUUCAUGUCACCUUUCAGCUGGUAUAUGGCCAGGUACGGAGCGGGGUACCUUCUGUAUAGUGGAUCAUUGGAUAAACCCACUUCUUUCAGGUUUAGGGAAUUGGAAACAACGGGUUUCAAAUAUUGACCCUACUGAUCUCCUAACUUCCCUGGGCCUUAGUGAUUUCAAUUAUAAAAUACAGCUAGCAGGACAGAUGUUGCUGGGUAUCGUGGUAUUAAUGAGUCAAUGACUCUAAAGGGUCGUAUAAAUGUCUAACGUUAUCCCAUUUAUCUGAAAAAUCAGCUUACUUUCAUUUGUUCUCCAUCUCAGUGGAAGAGUCACUGGAGGACAAACGGCCACUGAGAUUGCUCUGCUACUUGUAUUAGAGAUAAUUUAAUUUCCUACAUGUUAAAGGCUGUUAAUCCUUGAUUUUCACUUUUCCCAGCAGAUACAAUGGCUCCCUUUUGGCUUUCUAAACACUCUGUGAAUCCCCAUAAUCCACUUUGCAAUGAUUACUCUAAAAUGUUCCGCUUAACUCUUUCUCAUUUUUUUGAGAGAAAAUUAUUUUGCGCUUACCACUGGUAUCUCGGCAAGGUUUUUGUUAACGAACCGAUCAUUUUGUCCUUCUACCACUAAGAGGCGCUGUUUCAUUGAUUUUUGUGGGGAGGAGAAGGGAGGGUGUUCUAGCUGAAGUACCUUCUAUGCUGGUAUCUGAGCUGUUGAAACUCGGCCUUUCACAUACUGUCAUUAAAAUGCAACAACCAAACCAGCAAAUAACCUUAGUAUUAAACAAUACCUUUAUCCAAGGAGCUCAAAGAUCCAGAUGCUCCAGAAUUAAUUAGAAACUAAGCUUCAUUGAUUAAUACAGAAAAGAAGAAGAAAAUCCUUUAAGUCUUGAAGCAGACUAGAAAAAAAAUUCAGUUACGUGGGUAGCCAUUUAUAACUCAGAUAGAGGAACAUUACUAUUUGUCAUUUUAAUUUUUUGGCAUUAGUGUUAUUUGAUGAAAUUAAGUUUUCAUCCACAGUGUAGGAUUAUUAUUACCAGUUGAAAACCACUCAUAAUAUAUAGAUAUUUUAUUGGAUAAACAUAUUACAAGGAGUUUUCCUGUUUAUUUUACUGUUUUGUUACUGCAUAUGUUUGAAUUUGGGGAAGUGGAUUCCAUUUUAUGUCUUAUAAUGAUAGGCUCUGAUUUCUGAAAACUUAGAAAGUUUGUGAAAAAAUGGAAAAGAGAAUAAGGAGUACUUAGUAAUAAUCCUAACCUAUGGGACAUCUUCCAGGUUUUGGAUGAAUAUAAACAAAGUAUUAGAUUUUAUUUAAACUUUAACUUUCACUAUUUAAUAAUCAAAAGGCAUUAUUAAACUACACAAUUUUAAAAUCUGGUUCUAAAGGAAGAAGAAUGAGGGCCAAAAGUGAGAAUUACCUUUAGACUUAACUUUCUUUACAUUUUAGGCCAGAGCAAGUAGGCUAUAUCUGUUUGUGUCAGAUUCUAUUGCUGAAUAACAAGUUACCACAAAGUCAGCAGCUUCAAACAUUUAUUAUCUCAUAAUUUCUAUGGUCAGAAGCCUGGGUGUGGCCAGAUUAGGUCCCUGGCUCAGGGUCUUACAAGACUAGAAUCAAAGUGUCAACUGGGCUGAUUCCUUUCUGAAGCUUGCGGUCUUCUUUCAAGUUCACAGAGCUGUUGGCAGAAUCUAGUUCCUUGCAGCUGUAGGACUGUGGCCCCGGUUCUCAUGCUGGAUGUUAGGCAGGACAGCUCUGAGCUCCUGGAGGCCACCCGCAGUUCCUUGUCACAUGGCCCCUUCUAGGUCCUCUCACACUUAAACCUCUUUCACCAGGAGAAAGAACCCAGUUCCUUUAAGGGCCCGCUGAGGAUAAUCUUCAGUUUUCAGGUCAACUCAUUUGGGAACUUAAUUGCAUUUGCAGAAUUCCCUUCACAGCAGCAUCUAGAUUCGGGUUUGACUGAAUAACCUGGGGAAGGUGUGUAUAACCUGGGGAAGGUGUGUGUACGCAGGGGCACAGGGAUCCUGGGGCCAUCUUAGAUUUCUGCCUACCUGUCUUAGUGUGUUCCGGCUGCUCUAACAAAAUCCUGCAGGCUGGGUAGCGUGUAAGCAACAGAACCAAAAACAGAACUUUGUUUCUCACAGUUCUGGAGGCUGGAAGUCGGCGAUCAGGAUGGCAGCAUGGUUGGUGAGCGCCCUCUUCUUGGGUGCAGACUUCUCGUUGAAUCUGCGUAUGGCAGAAGGGCCCAGGGAACUCUCCUGAGCCUCUUUUAUGAGGCACUAUAUUCCAUUCACGAGGGUCCUGUCUCAUGAUUUAAGCAAUUCCCAAAGGCCCCACCUACUAUUACCAUCACCUUUGGGGUUUAGGAUUGCAGCAUAGGAAUUUUGGGGGGACACAAACCUUCAGAUCAUAGCACUACCAUAAUGCUUUAUAAUAAACAUUUGAACUCAAUAUGUUCUGUUUAAAAGCAUGGUAUGUAUUAAGUAUCUGAGAGCAGCAUAAAUGACUUUCCUUUUUUUUUUUAAAUGACUUUCUUAAAAAAGAAAUGAGAGAACCAAGCCAGUGAGCCAGUAUUUUGAAUAAUAGAGAAUGCUGCCUUGCUCAGUUCAAGCCAGGGAGGAGAACACUCCACCAAUGCAAACCUACAUUCUAUUCAUCUUAAGGGUCACCAGUUUACGCUGGGCCCCGAAUUCGCUUACGAAUCAUUGCAUAGAGUCCAGCCCCUUUUGCCAACACAGGAUGCACUUGGAGAGGGCAGUGCACCUGCGGGGUCUGGUGGGUAAGAACCAUCUCCUUUUGUGGUACUCCUUAGUCACUACAGAGGAUUGAUGCUGUAUGCCCCAGAUUAGGAUCCUCUCUUAAAAACCCACUGUGCUGGUGGUAGGAUGCCCCUGCAUUUUUGAAUAUUUGAAUUUUAAAUUUAAAAUGCCAUCAUCAUUAUAGACGUCCUUCACUGUGUGGCUGGCUGCCGUCAUAAACUGGAGAGUGGGAGGCUGCCGGUAUUUGCUGCCCGUCUUCCGUGUAGAAUUGUGAUGGGGGUCAGAGCCAUG